ACUUGAAAAGAGAGUCUCCAUUUUACAGAGUUUGUAGAGACUGGAACAGAGUUUAUCCAUUUUUGUGGAGACCUACCUCUAUUUUUCUUUUUCUUGGAUGUCGGUUUUGGACCUCCCGCAGCAUGGCUGCAUUAUAUAGGAGUAGUUGCCGAAGUUCCCCUCUCCUCUGAAGCCUCAACGAAUCGCCGCCGGUCCCUCCGCCCGCCGCCGCUCUUCUCUCUAUCCAGCGUGUGGUGGAGAUCCGUUCUGUAACAGGCCAUUUCAUCUCUGCUAUAACUAUGAGUCUAGCUUGUCUAGUAUGCCAUGGAAUGAACAGCCCUUCAAACUCCUUUAGAAGCUACUCAGUCUCAAGCUCAGAAGGGGAAAACCGAUGUGGAGCUGUAGUAGCUUGCCUAUCUCGGAAAGUAAUGCCUUCUGGAGCUGCCAAUGGUGUUGGGACAUCAAAGGUGACCCCUUUUCCUCUAAUGGCUACUGGUCAGGGCACCGAAGGUGCUCCUCGCCUUCAGCGGAGCCAUGCUGUUUCAAGAGACCUCGUCAGAAACUGGAACUUCGAUGAGAUUGUUUUUGGAAACUAGAGUAGGGUGCUCACCGUUUGGUCUAGAUUGGACAGAAACUAUCAUCUGGCAGGACAAGCCAUCACUUGAUGAAUUUACUAGCAUACAUCUGUGUAUCCAUGUAAUGUAUCAGCAGUUUAGCACUCGUUCCAUCAACAAGCAAAUCAUUAAAAGAGCACUGAUACUUGAAGAAUCAGUACCUGGUUUGAUUUAUAGUUGUCAAGUUGUGCUGUUAUAUCAACUUUUCGGUGUAUUAUUUUUUUCCUAUUACUGUAUAUCAACUUUCCUAUACCUUAAGAUAAUGAACAAAUCCUCUUUCAGCUUUCCCAUA